GUUAAGGUCAUGAACGUUUUUCCCUUGCCGUGAGAAGCCGUUACUCUGAUACCGUGCGCAGUUCACAGAGAGACACCAUAGUCUCUUUCUUUCUCCAAUAGAUUCAACACACAACGUAACAUAAUAGCAAUUGCAGAACACAGGAUUUCGAUUAUGUUCAUUGAAGAGCGAGGGUUGUUAAUCUGGUGAUGGGUAAGUGGAGGAAAGCGACGGCAUAAAGGAAUCGUUCAGAAAUUUGUUGUUUGUAAAAACUAGGGUUGCGAAAUGGAGGGAGAGGAUAUUAGGUCUGGGACCAGGAAGAAGCGAUCCAAGAAGGAAAUUGGUUUUGACUCUGACGACGACGAGCCCAUUGGCUCAAUCUUUAAGCUGAAGAGGUCCAAGAGGAAGGGUAGUGGUGGUGGUGAGGCUGUUAGGGAGAAGGAGGAUUUGGGGGGUAUGGAUGAUAAUGAUACCUUGGCUAGCUUUAGGAAGAGAUUGAAGGGUCCUAAAAGAGAUCAGGGAUCUGGGUUUGGAAGAGGAGCAAGUCCUGCCUUGCAUGUGUCUGAUGAAGAAUUGGUUGGAUUGGGAGCUAAGGAUAAGGAUGAGAAAGGGGUCGCCUUGGUGCCUGCUGGUGAGGACAUGCAGAUGGAGGAUUCUUCUGAUCAACACAUGGAGGAUUCGUUGUCUGCGAUUUUUCACAAGGCGCAGUCUAGUUCUGCUAGGAAAUCUCGUGGGAUUUCGAGACAGAAAAGGGGGAUUCAGAAGGUGGAUAGUGGGUUGUGCCCUGGAGGUUUUGUGGAAACUGUGGAUUCUGGGGUUGAAAGUAGAUCCGGAUCUGCUUCUGGCUCGAAAUUGGUUGGGGGGAAUGCCAUGUCUGAUGAUGCUUUGCCUCAAGCAUCUGAACCGGUUGUCACAUCCAUGGUGGAGGAUCAGAAGUGUGUUAGUGACUGUUUUCAAGAGGGAACUGUAAAGGGUGAAUGUGAUUUGGACAUUCCAGGUGGACGGAAUCAGUCAAAUGAUGUCUACCGUGAAGAUGGGAAGCAAUUUUCUUGUGUUGUACAAGCUGAAGAUAUUUCUUGUGAUUCUGACAAGAAGGUUGCACUGCAGGAAAGUGGUGUUAUCAGUGGUGAUUUACAUAAGUUAUCUUCUAUGUUAAACGAUGAAAUAGUUGAUACUGCCUCUCUCUCAAAACUGGGGGAAGGGGAAAGACAAUUUACUGAGGUCCGGGAGCUUGAGAAUAGAUUGACUGAUGACCUAGUACAAGCAUGCAACAGUGCUCCAGAACAUGAUAUUUCUACUUCUUCAGGGGAAAAAAAUGUCUUGAAAUCUUCGCACAUUGAACCCUUGAUUAAAUCAACUGAAAAUGCUUUGAAUGAGAAUAAUGAUAUGGUUUCUGGAAAAGAUUGUCAGGAAUUCUCGAGUAAUGGAGCUCUAAAGUUAUUUGGAUGCCAUAUGGAAGCAGAUGGAGCUGGAAAAUCAGAAACUGAGUUUGUUUCUGAUAGAAAUUUCUGUGAUUAUAGUAAUUUAGAUACAAAGGCCGAAGUGCAUGAUUUUGUUCUAGGUUUUUCACCUAAAAGAAAUGAUGUAACUGUCAGUGGUUCUUCUAUGGUGUCUAAUGAAGCUGAUUUGGCCGCCCACUCAAAUCAUCCCGAGAAACCUGUAGAAGCUCGCAAUAUUCCAAAAGACCCCACUGCUUCUAUUAUGAAAUGUAGCUCGGUUUUAGAUCCAAAUCAAUCGGAUGGAUCCUCUCUUCAAUCUUCAAUUCCAGAUGAAAAUGGGAACUCUGCGGAAUACCAUGCCUCUGUGACUGAUUUUGUCGAUAAUGAUGGUAAAAUAUCAAGCAUUCCAAGGUUGGUGCGAAAGACCAAAAUGCGCAAGCAUGGAGACAUGACAUAUGAGGGGGAUGCUGAUUGGGAGGUUUUAAUUAAUGAUCAAGCUCUAAAUGAAAUUCAAGUUAUGACAGAUGUUGAACGCACUCUUAGAACAAGAAUGAAGCAUGAUUCCUCUUUGAAUACUGGUGAAGACUCUGAAAAUGUUGCAGUAGUGGCAGUAUCAGCUGGGCUGAAAGCCCGUAAAGCCGGUCCAAUCGAGAAAAUAAAGUUUAAAGAGAUCUUGAAACGAAAAGGUGGUCUCAAGGAAUACUUGGAUUGCAGAAAUCAGAUUUUAAGUCUUUGGAGCCGAGAUGUCACACGUAUUUUGCCUCUUGCUGAAUGUGGAGUUAAUGAUACUGAUUUUGAGGAUGGAAGUCCUCGUUCUUCUCUUAUUAGGGAGGUCUAUGCAUUUCUUGAUCAAUAUGGUUAUAUAAAUGUUGGAAUUGCCUCCCAGAAGGAGAAUGUUGGAAGUAGUGCAAGGCACUGUUAUAAGCUGGUAAAAGAAAAAGGUUUUGAGGAAAGUCUCGCAGCUUCAAUGGCCGACUCUGAAGAUGAAGUUUCCUUUCUUGUUGGUCAGACUAAAAUGUCAGAUGCUUCCAAUGAGGUUAACAAUGGUAUUAGAAAGGAUUGCAAUGACCUGACAAUUGAAACUACAGAAGGUAUGGGCCAGAGUAAUGAAGUGAAGGUGGAUUUAUCAAACAUAUCACAACAGGCAGAAGGAAAAAUUUUUGAUUACCAGGAAAAUGAUGGAUUUCAGGAUGGAACUAUUGUCAGUUCCGUUCCUUCUUCCAACUUUGCUGAUUGCAAAUCAACUUCUCUGAUAGCUAAAGAGAAAAACAAUGACUCUACCUGCAUUAAAUCUGUCUGGGAUGGUCAGGCAGGUGACAAUCUGCAGCCUGAUUUAGAUCCUAGAAAGAGAGUAAUUGUGAUUGGAGCUGGGCCUGCUGGGUUAACUGCUGCUCGCCACUUGCAACGUCAAGGAUUUCCUGUUACUGUGCUUGAGGCUAGGAGUAGGAUAGGAGGUCGUGUGUUUACUGAUCACUCCUCACUUUCUGUCCCUGUCGAUCUUGGAGCUAGCAUUAUAACAGGUGUUGAGGCUGAUGUGGCCACUGAGCGGAGACCAGAUCCUUCCUCGUUGAUUUGUGCUCAGUUGGGCCUUGAGUUGACAGUGUUGAACAGUGAUUGCCCUCUUUAUGACAUAGUGACAGAACAAAAAGUUCCUGCAGAUAUGGAUGAAGCACUUGAAGCUGAAUAUAAUACCCUUAUAGAUGACAUGGUAUUGGUUGUUGCUCAGAAAGGUGAACAAGCAAUGAAAAUGUCUCUUGAAGAUGGUUUAGAAUAUGCACUCAAGAUUCGGCGUACUGCACGCACUGAAAGCAGUGAAGAAACUCAAGAAAACAAUUCUGCAGACAGACAAUUUGAUUCCAAAAAGGACAGUUUUGUGGAAAAAAAACUUGAUGAGGAGAUUUUGAGCCCUCAGGAAAGGAGGGUUAUGGAUUGGCACUUUGCUCAUUUGGAGUAUGGUUGUGCUGCUUCACUUAAUGAUGUUUCUCUUCCCUACUGGAAUCAAGAUGAUGUGUAUGGAGGUUUUGGGGGAGCUCAUUGUAUGAUUAAAGGGGGUUACAGUUCCGUUGUUGAGUCUCUGGGAGAAGGAGUUACAAUUCACUUGAACCACAUUGUAACAAAUGUGUCAUAUGGAAUCAAGGAGCCUGGUCAAAGUUAUAAAGUCAAAGUUUCUACAGCAAAUGGCAAUGAGUUCUUUGGUGAUGCUGUCCUUGUUACUGUUCCACUUGGCUGUUUGAAGGCUGAAACUAUAGAGUUCUCCCCUCCUUUGCCACAGUGGAAAUGUUCUUCUGUUCAGCGUCUUGGUUAUGGAGUUCUAAAUAAAGUGGCUUUGGAAUUUCCUAGUGUAUUUUGGGAUGAUGCUGUGGACUACUUUGGAGCAACAGCUGAGGAGAGAAACAGUAGAGGUCACUGCUUUAUGUUCUGGAAUGUCAGGAAAACAGUUGGGGCUCCUGUCCUUAUUGCAUUAGUGGUUGGUAAGGCAGCCAUAGAUGGUCAAAGCUUGAGCUCUUCUGAUCAUGUUAAACAUGCAUUGAAGGUUCUCCGAAAACUUUUUGGGCAGGAUUCAGUUCCAGAUCCUGUUGCCUAUGUUGUGACUGAUUGGGGUAGGGAUCCUUUUAGCUAUGGUGCUUAUUCUUAUGUUGCGGUUGGAGCCUCAGGAGAAGACUAUGAUAUAUUAGGGAGACCAGUUGAUAACUGCUUGUUUUUUGCUGGUGAAGCAACCUGCAAAGAGCACCCAGAUACCGUUGGUGGUGCAAUGAUGAGUGGACUACGAGAGUCUGUUCGCAUAAUUGACAUAUUGAGCACUGGAAAUGAUUAUAUUGCUGAGGUGGAGGCAUUGGAAGCUGCACGGGGACAGUUAGACACUGAAAGGGAUGAAGUGAGGGAUAUAAUAAAGAGACUUGAUGCAGUAGAACUUUCUAACAUAAUGUACAAGAACUCUUUAGAUGGUGCUCAAAUUUUAACCCGGGAAGCUUUGUUAAGGGAAAUGUUCUUUAAUACGAAAACCACUGCUGGACGCUUGCAUGUGGCCAAACAAUUGUUAACUCUUCCUGUUGGAAACUUGAAGUCUUUUGCUGGAAGUAAAGAGGGGCUAGCCAUUCUCAAUUCAUGGAUACUGGAUUCAAUGGGAAAGGAUGGGACCCAACUCUUGAGGCAUUGUUUGCGACUCCUUGUCCGUGUUUCAACUGAUCUUCUUGCUGUACGAUUGUCAGGAAUGGGGAAAACAGUGAAGGAAAAAGUUUGUGUACAUACCAGCCGUGAUAUUCGUGCUAUAGCAAGCCAGUUGGUCAAUGUAUGGCUUGAAGUUUUUCGCAAGGAAAAAGCUUCUAAUGGUGGAUUAAAGUUACCAAGACAAACAACUGCAGUAGAUUUAUCUAAGAGAAAAUCUGCCAAAGAUUCAGCUUCGGGAAAACCACCUCUGGGCACAUAUCAUGGUACCAAUGAGAAUAAAGGAGGCUUGCUGAAUCCUACAUCUGCUGGAAGCAAUUCACCUUCCCAUGCCCAUGUGAAGAAAUUGCACAGCAAACAAGGAAGACAGCUGCCAUCAUAUGACUCAAGGCAUGAAUUCAGUUCUUCCAGGUCCAAAGGUUCAAUAGACAGAGUGGUUACAGAGAAGGAGGAUAACCACUGUGCUAUAUCUGAAGAAGAACAGGCUGCUAUAGCUGCUGCAGAGGCUGCACGUGUUAAAGCUCUUGCUGCUGCUGAGGCAUAUGCUUCUGCAGAAGCCAGAUCCAAUUCGCUGUUACAGCUUCCUAAGAUACCCUCAUUCCAUAAAUUUGCUAGACGUGAGCAGUCUUCACAAAAUGACGAGUGUGAUAGUAGAAAAAGAUGGUCAGGUGGUGUUUUUGGAAGGCAAGAUUGUAUUUCAGAGAUCGACUCCAGGAAUUGCAGAGUUAGGGAUUGGUCUGUUGAUUUCUCUGCUGCUUGUGUCAAUCUUGAUAAUUCCAGAAUGCCAGUUGAUAACCUUUCACAGAGGAGUCAUUCAAAUGAGAUUGCCAGCCAUUUGAAUUUCAGAGAGCACUCAGGAGAAAGUGCUGCUGGGGACAGCAGUAUAUAUACGAAAGCUUGGAUUGACACAGCUGGUGGUGUUGCAAUUAAAGAUCAUCAUGCCAUUGAGAGAUGGCAAUCUCAAGCAGCUGCAGCAGAUUCUUAUUUUUCUAACCCAACCAUUCAUUUGAAGGACGAGGAGGACUCAAAUGCCUGUUCAAAGCUACCAAUCUGGAAGCGUGAUGGUGUUGCUAAUGAGAGCUCUAUUUCACAGGUUACUGUAAAUAAGGAGGCCCUGAAGAGUCAUUCCCGAGCAGCAGAUCAUAUUAAACAGGCUGUUGUGGACUAUGUUGCAUCACUGCUGAUGCCCCUUUAUAAGGCAAGAAAACUAGACAAGGAUGGAUACAAGGCUAUAAUGAAGAAAAGUGCAACAAAGGUCAUGGAGCAAGCUACGGAUGCAGAAAAAGCCAUGACUGUACGCGAGUUUCUAGAUUUUAAGCGGAAGAAUAAGAUUCGCUCCUUUGUGGAUAUACUGAUUGAGAGGCACAUGACAAUGAAAUCAGAUGUGAAAUCUUAAUGUUCUUUGGAUGGGAAUUGUUUGUACUUUGUUGUACGUCUUUUGUAACAGUUGCCAAAGUCUGGUUCUUCUUCCUACUUCAGUUCUCACAGUUUUGAUGGCCAUGAGCAUGAUCUCACAUGAGCACCUCAAUCUGCCUAUGUAAAUGAUCUAGAAGGUAUAAUUAAAAAGACACAACUUGAUCCAUUCACAUCAAGCGGGUUCUAUGGAAUUCCUUCUUGGCAAAAUCUUGAACGGCAUUCCAGAUACAGCUGGUAGAUUGCCAGUAAACAGGCUUCAACACCUAAGCAGACUCAUUGAAAAUAUCAGUUGGAUGUUGAGGGCGAUGGGUAUUGGCAGGUUUGAAGAUGACGGCAGAUACAUCACCUCCUUGCAAACAAGCUCGUCAGUGUAACUAUAAUGAUGAUUCAAAGGACUGCGCCAUGGGAUCCCAACAGCCCAAGACUUUUUAUACGGCUGAGAAAGAUCAUUUCAUUCACUAAUGGGAGGAACUAGGUAUUCUGCAUUUUCCGUUUGUUUUGAUGUAUUUUGGAACUAUUACCUUCUUCAGAACCAAUUUUCAGACUGUCUUCAAGCCACCAGUAUGUGUUAUUGGAUUAAAAAAUGUCGCUGCUGGGGAAAUUAAAUUCCACUGGGUGUAUCUAGGGGUGAGUACAUAUUUUUGUCUUUGCAUUGCAGCAGUCUCCCACUCCUCUCCCCUCCCAAUAGGUCAAACCUGUGAAUUCCUUUCAUAUUGGUUGCACCUAUUUGGUUACCAAGAAUAUCUGUGUUGUUUGCUUGGUGGUACUUUUUUUAUUCACUAGGAGAAUGAGCCCACUUUUUAGUGAUGCUAUUUCAAAAUGGCUGAAUACCCCAGUGGAAAAUUUACCCUCAGAUUCUAUUUUUGACGCAUUUCUGGUAUGAUUCGGUAUCGUUUAUGGGUACAGUACUGUAUAAUACACAUUUUUGUUGUAUCAUCUUGUUAUAACCAUUUUGGCUUUAUGUUUCUAGGUUUGAUGUUGGAUUUUGAAUUCUCAUUCGACAGAGGUCAGAAAGAAUAUGAAAAAAAAACUCAAAUACUGUAUAAUGCAUAGAUGUCACAGCAUACUAUAUCUUCAGAGUUGCCUUGUGUAAAAAAUAUUACGUUCUCUCAGUGUUGAUCUUUGUGCUUCACUGCUUCUGAUAUCUCUUAAUCUUUACAGUGUUGUUUCUCUCUAAAUACCUUUAUAGAUGAAUCGAAAGGUUGUUGCAAUUUAUUUUUCAUAUUUAGUUGGAUUGCCAACCAUUGGAUGUUAAGAUCACAUUCUAGAUAAUAGUUUUGCAUCGGCCAAGUACAGCA